UAUGAAGGGGGCUAGCGUUGUUCGGAAUUACUGGGCGUAAAGCGCACGUAGGCGGAUAUUUAAGUCAGGGGUGAAAUCCCAGAGCUCAACUCUGGAACUGCCUUUGAUACUGGGUAUCUUGAGUAUGGAAGAGGUGAGUGGAAUUCCGAGUGUAGAGGUGAAAUUCGUAGAUAUUCGGAGGAACACCAGUGGCGAAGGCGGCUCACUGGUCCAUUACUGACGCUGAGGUGCGAAAGCGUGGGGAGCAAACAGG
rnacentral:rRNA from 1 species